UAAGGAAUAUUGGUCAAUGGACGCAAGUCUGAACCAGCCAUGCCGCGUGAAGGAUUAAGGUCCUCUGGAUUGUAAACUUCUUUUAUUUGGGACGAAAAAGGGUCUUUCUAGAUCAACUGACGGUACCAGAUGAAUAAGCACCGGCUAACUCCGUGCCAGCAGCCGCGGUAAUACGGAGGGUGCAAGCGUUAUCCGGAUUCACUGGGUUUAAAGGGUGCGUAGGCGGGUAGGUAAGUCAGUGGUGAAAUCCUAGAGCUUAACUCUAGAACUGCCAUUGAUACUAUCUAUCUUGAAUAUUGUGGAGGUAAGCGGAAUAUGUCAUGUAGCGGUGAAAUGCUUAGAUAUGACAUAGAACACCUAUUGCGAAGGCAGCUUACUACGCAUAUAUUGACGCUGAGGCACGAAAGCGUGGGGAUCAAACA
rnacentral:rRNA from 1 species